GUCACCCCGCUGCUGUCGGUGAUGGACUGGCCUGAGGUCUCUCUACAAACAAGCGGCUGCUGGAGGAGAGUCGGUGAGUUGUGUUUAGUCUCUUUGCAAAAGAAAUAAGGCAAAGUUAAAAAGAUGUUUGGUGGCUAGGACCCUAUAUGUCCUGUUGAUGAAGUUAGGUGCUGUUCUGAGCAUCAUUUAUGGCUAUAGAGUGGCGUUUUGGUUGAGGUUUGUUUAUGGCUCCUUAGACUGCUGUGUAUUGCUAUCAUGUGGUUGUUAAAGUUGGUAUAACUAGAGAAGCAAGCGGUCGGCAACAUUCAUCUCUUGAGGGGGUGUCUAACUCGGUGUUACGGUGUGUUUGACCCCAACUUAAUUUUACGCCGGAAUAUCCCUUUAAGUGCACAGUGUGCAUAUUGAGCACAUAAAGGGUCUGAAAAUCCUGGAUCCUUGGAUGAGGUGUAAGCUCUUUAAAUCUAGAAAAUCACUGUCAUUCACACAGGUUUUGUCCUUUCCCCAACAUUCCUUUGGCCUGAUGUGUAAAGUCUCAGCUGUUGAGACAAGUCUGGUCUGGAAACGUCAGCCAGCCUCACUGAAUGUGAACUAAAGAUGACUUCCGUUUGUCUGUGACCACCAGGGGGCCACAAAAUCACACUCAAAUGGGCUUUUCUUGCUCUGCUGUAAUGUCAACUUUGAAAUGCCUAACACAGUUUCUUUAGAGAGUUGUGUUAUUUCUCUCAAUGUGAGCAGUUGAAAAGUUAAUGUUAUUCUUUUGAGAAUAAGAAAUACACAAGAAAUGCACAAAUAUGAGGCCAGUUUGCUGCUCAGACAUCCGCGUUGGAGGUUUUGUCUAGACAGCACAAAUGUUUCCUUUGGGGAGCAAAGUCCACUGUUACAGCCCUGGUGUGUGUCAUGUCUGCAGAAUAACAAAAUAAAAGAAAAGCAAUCUCUCCUCUGUGGA